CCUACGGGGGGCAGCAGUGAGGAAUAUUGGUCAAUGGGCGUAAGCCUGAACCAGCCAAGUCGCGUGAGGGAUGAAGGUUCUAUGGAUCGUAAACCUCUUUUAUAAGGGAAUAAAGUGUGGGACGUGUCCUAUUUUGUAUGUACCUUAUGAAUAAGGAUCGGCUAACUCUGUGCCAGCAGCCGCGGUAAUACGGAGGAUCCGAGCGUUAUCCGGAUUUAUUGGGUUUAAAGGGUGCGUAGGCGGAACAUUAAGUCAGCGGUAAAAUCGAGGGGCUCAACCCCUUUAAGCCGUUGAAACUGGUGAUCUUGAGUGGGCGAGAAGUAUGCGGAAUGCGUGGUGUAGCGGUGAAAUGCAUAGAUAUCACGCAGAACUCCGAUUGCGAAGGCAGCAUACCGGCGCCCGACUGACGCUGAGGCACGAAAGCGUGGGGAUCGAACAGGAUUAGAUACCCUAGUAGUC
rnacentral:rRNA from 1 species